AGAGUUUGAUCCUGGCUCAGAACGAACGUUGGCGGCGUGGAUUAGGCAUGCAAGUCGAACGAAGCAGGGGGUAACUCCUGACUGAGUGGCGAAAGGGGCAGUAAGGCAUGGGUAACCUACCCUCGGGACCGGGAUAGUUCUCCUAACGGAGUUGUAAUACCGGGCAAAGUGAUUGUGGCGCAUGUCGCGAUCACCAGAUGAAUUUCGCCCGGGGAGGGGCUCAUGUAGUAUUAGCUAGUUGGUAGGGUGAUGGCCUACCAAGGCGAAGAUGCUUAGCGGGUGUGAGAGCACGACCCGCGCCACUGGCACUGAGACACUGGCCAGACUCCUACGGGAGGCUGCAGUCGAGGAUCUUCGGCAAUGGGCGCAAGCCUGACCGAGCGACGCCGCGUGUGCGACGAAGGCCUUCGGGUUGUAAAGCACUGUCGAGGGGGAGGAAAGCCGAAAGGUUUGACCUAUCCCUGGAGGAAGCACGGGCUAAGUUCGUGCCAGCAGCCGCGGUAAGACGAACCGUGCGAACGUUGUUCGGAAUCACUGGGCUUAAAGGGCGCGUAGGCGGUCCGCCAAGUCAGGGGUGAAAUCCUCCAGCUUAACUGGAGAAGUGCCUUUGAUACUGGCGGACUCGAGGGAGGUAGGGGCAGAUGGAACUGGUGGUGGAGCGGUGAAAUGUGUAGAUAUCACUAGGAACGCCGGUGGCGAAAGCGAUCUGCUGGACCUCUACUGACGCUGAGGCGCGAAAGCCAGGGGAGCAAACGGGAUUAGAUACCCCGGUAGUCCUGGCCCUAAACGAUGGGUACUGGGUAGUGGACUUACAUGGGUUCACUGCCGAAGCUAAAGUGGUAAGUACCCCGCCUGGGGAGUAUGGUCGCAAGGCUGAAACUCAAAGGAAUUGACGGGGGCUCACACAAGCGGUGGAGCAUGUGGCUUAAUUCGAGGCUACGCGAAGAACCUUAUCCUGGGCUUGACAUAUGCGAAAGCGUUAGGAAGUAGCUGCCGGAAACGGCCAGCGAACGGUAUCCAGUCCGGAACUUAACACAGGUGCUGCAUGGCUGUCGUCAGCUCGUGUCGUGAGAUGUCGGGUUAAGUCCCAUAACGAGCGCAACCCUUGUCACUAGUUGCCAACGUAAAGUCGGGGACUCUAGUGAGACUGCCGGUGUUAAACCGGAGGAAGGUGGGGAUGACGUCAAGUCCUCAUGGCCUUUAUGCCCAGGGCUGCACACGUGCUACAAUGGCGUGAACAAAGGGAUGCAAUGCCGCGAGGCCUAGCUAAUCUCAGAAAACACGCCUCAGUUCAGAUUGAAGGCUGCAACUCGCCUUCAUGAAGUUGGAAUCGCUAGUAAUCGCGGGUCAGCAACACCGCGGUGAAUGUGUUCCUGAGCCUUGUACACACCGCCCGUCAAGCCACGAAAAUCCGGGGUGGCCGAAGUCGUCUUUACCGGCGCCGACGCCAAACUGGGUAAUUGGGACUAAGUCGUAACAAGGUA
rnacentral:rRNA from 1 species